UACGGGAGGGGGCUAGCGUUGUUCGGAAUUACUGGGCGUAAAGCGCACGUAGGCGGAUCAGCAAGUUAGGGGUGAAACCCCGGGGCUCAACCCCGGAACUGCCUUUAAAACUGUUGGUCUGGAGUCCGAGAGAGGUGAGUGGAAUUCCGAGUGUAGAGGUGAAAUUCGUAGAUAUUCGGAAGAACACCAGUGGCGAAGGCGACUCACUGGACAUGUAUUGACGCUGAGGUGCGAAAGCGUGGGGAGCAAACAGG
rnacentral:rRNA from 1 species